GUAACACGUAUGUAACCUACCUUUAUCAGGGGGAUAGCCUCUCGAAAGAGAGAUUAAGCCCGCAUAAAAUCACACUGUGGCAUCACAGAAUGAUCAAAUAUUUAUAGGAUAAAGAUGGGCAUGCGGAACAUUAGCUAGUUGGCGAGGUAACGGCUCACCAAGGCUACGAUGUUUAGGGGAUCUGAGAGGAUGACCCCCCACACUGGUACUGAGACACGGACCAGACUCCUACGGGAGGCAGCAGUAAGGAAUAUUGGUCAAUGGGCGGAAGCCUGAACCAGCCAUGCCGCGUGCAGGAAGACGGCCCUACGGGUUGUAAACUGCUUUUGUACGGGAAUAAACCCUCCUAUGUAUAGGAGGCUGAAUGUACUGUAAGAAUAAGGAUCGGCUAACUCCGUGCCAGCAGCCGCGGUAAUACGGAGGAUCCAAGCGUUAUCCGGAUUUAUUGGGUUUAAAGGGUGCGUAGGCGGUUUAUUAAGUCAGGGGUGAAAGACGGCAGCUUAACUGUCGCAGUGCCUUUGAUACUGAUGAACUUGAAUGUACUAGAAGUAGGCGGAAUGUGACAAGUAGCGGUGAAAUGCAUAGAUAUGUCACAGAACACCGAUUGCGAAGGCAGCUUACUAUGGUAU
rnacentral:rRNA from 1 species